CAGCUCAGUUGGUAAAGCAUGAGACUCUUAAUCUCAGUGGUAUGGGUUCAAGCCCCAAGGA
rnacentral:tRNA from 1 species